CCACUAGAUGAAGAAGACAUCGUGGCAUACAUGAUUGCCGGCCUUGAUGCUGAUUUCGAGCCGGUGGUGUCGGCGCUGGCUGCAAGAACAGAACCAGUCACCGUUGGAGAACUCUAUGGACAACUCCUAGGGUUUGAAG